GGGUUAGAAAGCAUAAUUGGUAUUGCAAUAAAUUGCAAAUUUAUAAGUUAUUGGUUCGAGUCCAAUUCUAACUUA
rnacentral:tRNA from 1 species